GCCUACGGCCAUCCCACCCUGGUAACGCCCGAUCUCGUCCGAUCUCGGAAGCUAAGCAGGGUCGGGCCUGGUUAGUACUUGGAUGGGAGACCUCCUGGGAAUACCGGGUGCUGUAGGCU
rnacentral:rRNA from 1 species